rnacentral:rRNA from 1 species
UACGGAGGGGGCAAGCGUUAUUCGGAAUUAUUGGGCGUAAAGAGUUCGUAGGCGGGACGUUAAGUCCGAUGUGAAAGUGCCUGGCUCAACCAGGCAAAGCCGUCGGAUACUGGCGUUCUUGAGUCAGACAGAGGUUGGCGGAAUUCCAGGUGUAGCGGUGGAAUGCUUAGAUAUCUGGAAGAACACCCGUGGCGAAGGCGGCCAGCUGGGUCUGCACUGACGCUGAGGAACGAAAGCCAGGGGAGCAAACGGG